rnacentral:rRNA from 1 species
AGCAGCCGCGGUAAUUCCAGCUCCAAUAGCGUAUAUUAAAGUUGUUGCAGUUAAAAAGCUCGUAGUUGAAUUUCGGGGUCAGCAAGUUGGUCGUGCCACUGGUAUGCACUGGCUUUGCUGAUUCCUCCUUCUUGAAGAACUGUAAUGCUAUUAAUUUAGUGUUGCAGGGAAACAGGACUGUUACUUUGAAAAAUUAGAGUGUUUAAAGCAGGCUAACGCUUGAAUACAUUAGCAUGGAAUAAUGAAAUAGGACGUUUGAUCCUAUUUUGUUGGUUUCUAGGAUUGACGUAAUGAUUAAUAGGGAUAGUUGGGGGCAUUAGUAUUCAAUUGUCAGAGGUGAAAUUCUUGGAUUUAUUGAAGACUAACUACUGCGAAAGCAUUUGCCAAGGAUGUU